rnacentral:rRNA from 1 species
AUUGAACGCUGGCGGCAGGCUUAACACAUGCAAGUCGAGCGGAGAGAGGUAGCUUGCUACUGAUCUUAGCGGCGGACGGGUGAGUAAUGCUUAGGAAUCUGCCUAUUAGUGGGGGACAACAUUUCGAAAGGAAUGCUAAUACCGCAUACGUCCUACGGGAGAAAGCAGGGGAUCUUCGGACCUUGCGCUAAUAGAUGAGCCUAAGUCGGAUUAGCUAGUUGGUGGGGUAAAGGCCUACCAAGGCGACGAUCUGUAGCGGGUCUGAGAGGAUGAUCCGCCACACUGGGACUGAGACACGGCCCAGACUCCUACGGGAGGCAGCAGUGGGGAAUAUUGGACAAUGGGCGCAAGCCUGAUCCAGCCAUGCCGCGUGUGUGAAGAAGGCCUUAUGGUUGUAAAGCACUUUAAGCGAGGAGGAGGCUACUUUAGAUAAUACCUAGAGAUAGUGGACGUUACUCGCAGAAUAAGCACCGGCUAACUCUGUGCCAGCCGCCGCCGUAA